rnacentral:RNase_P_RNA from 1 species
CGAGUUGGCCGGGCGGCCGCGGCUUCUGGAACCAGCGCGUAUCGCGCACAGGCCUGGGGCCGAGGAAAGUCCGGACUCCACAGAGCAGGGCGGUUGUUAACGGCAACCCGAGGCAACUCGCGGGACAGUGCCACAGAAAACAGACCGCCUGCCUUUCGAGGCAGGUAAGGGUGAAACGGUGCGGUAAGAGCGCACCAGCACCUCGGGUGACCGGGGUGGCUGAGGUAAACCCCGCCCGGAGCAAGGUUGAAGGUCGCAUCGCUCGCGGUGCGGCUGCGCAGGUGUUCGAGGGCUGCUCGCCCGAGCCUGCGGGUGAACCGCUCGAGGCACCCGGCGACGGUGUGCCCAGAUGGAUGGUCGCCACUCGGCACUUCGGUGCCGCAGGACAGGAUCCGGCUUACACGCCGACUCGUCCG